rnacentral:rRNA from 1 species
UACGAACUGUGCAAACGUUAUUCGGAUUCACUGGGCUUAAAGGGUGCGUAGGCGGCUGUUUAAGUAGGGUGUGAAAGCCCCCGGCUCAACCGGGGAAUUGCGCUCUAAACUGGACAGCUUGAGUGAGACAGGGGUGUGCGGAACUUCCGGUGGAGCGGUGAAAUGUGUUGAUAUCGGAAGGAACGCCGGUGGCGAAAGCGGCACACUGGGUCUUGACUGACGCUGAGGCACGAAAGCCAGGGGAGCGAACGGGAUUAGAUACCCUCGUAGUCC